AUUGAACGCUGGCGGCAGGCUUAACACAUGCAAGUCGAACGAAGCCUUCGGGCUUAGUGGCGCACGGGUGAGUAACACGUGGGAAUAUACCUUUCGCUGGGGGAUAACAUCGGGAAACUGAUGCUAAUACCGCAUACGCCCUACGGGGGAAAGAUUUGUCGGCGAAAGAUUAGCCCGCGUCCGAUUAGCUAGUUGGUGAGGUAAUGGCUCACCAAGGCUCCGAUCGGUAGCUGGUCUGAGAGGAUGACCAGCCACACUGGGACUGAGACACGGCCCAGACUCCUACGGGAGGCAGCAGUGGGGAAUAUUGGACAAUGGGCGAAAGCCUGAUCCAGCCAUGCCGCGUGAGUGAUGAAGGCCUUAGGGUUGUAAAGCUCUUUCACCCACGACGAUGAUGACGGUAGUGGGAGAAGAAGCCCCGGCUAACUUCGUGCCAGCCGCCGCAGUAAGAC
rnacentral:rRNA from 1 species